UACGGAGGGGGCGAGCGUUAAUCGGAAUUACUGGGCGUAAAGCGCAUGCAGGUGGUUGAUUAAGUCAGAUGUGAAAGCCCAAGGCUCAACCUUGGAACAGCAUUUGAAACUGGUCGACUAGAGUACUGUAGAGGGGGGUAGAAUUUCAGGUGUAGCGGUGAAAUGCGUAGAGAUCUGAAGGAAUACCGGUGGCGAAGGCGGCCCCCUGGACAGAUACUGACACUCAGAUGCGAAAGCGUGGGGAGCAAACAGG
rnacentral:rRNA from 1 species